UACGAAGGGGGCUAGCGUUGUUCGGAAUUACUGGGCGUAAAGCGUAUGCAGGCGGAUCGUUAAGUCGGGGGUGAAAUCCCGAGGCUCAACCUCGGAACUGCCUUCGAUACUGGCGAUCUUGAGUCCGGGAGAGGUGAGUGGAACUCCGAGUGUAGAGGUGAAAUGCGCAGAUAUCAGGAAGAACACCAAUGGCGAAGGCAGCUCUCUGGGACGGUACUGACGCUGAGACGCGAAAGCGUGGGGAGCGAACAGG
rnacentral:rRNA from 1 species